rnacentral:rRNA from 1 species
GAUGAACGCUAGCGGCAGGCCUAAUACAUGCAAGUCAAGGGGGUAGCAAUAUCACCGGCGCACGGGUGCGUAACGCGUAUGUAACCUACCUAUAUCAGGGGGAUAACACUCCGAAAGGGUGCUAAUACCGCAUAAUAUCAUUUGAUGGCAUCAUAAGAUGAUAAAAGCAGUAAUGUGGAUAUAGAUGGACAUGCGUGUCAUUAGCUAGUUGGUGAGGUAACGGCUCACCAAGGCGACGAUGACUAGGGGGUCUGAGAGGAUGAUCCCCCACACUGGUACUGAGAUACGGACCAGACUCCUACGGGAGGCAGCAGUAGGGAAUAUUGGGCAAUGGUCGGAAGUCUGAACCAGCCAUGCCGCGUGCAGGAAGACGGCCCUACGGGUUGUAAACUGCUUUUGCAGGGGAAUAAACCUCUCUACGUGUAGAGAGCUGAAUGUACUCUGAGAAUAAGGAUCGGCUAACUCCGUGCCAGCAGCCG